rnacentral:lncRNA from 1 species
CUCAGAGCUUGCACUGCAGUCAGAAGAAUCUACUCAAAUCUUUUCUUAGCCCCAUUAACUGGAUGUCAGCCUUCUGAUCAGCUGACAUGAGAAAAAAACCAGCCCAAUAAUACUGUGAAAGGUCUCCAGCAGCAAAGAGCAUUGGUGCUAUGGAGGGGCUGUGGAAUGAUAGAAUUUCCAAUACAUUUCUGGAGUCUUUCCAGGGGAGACUUUUAAAAAGUAGAGCAUGUGCUUUCUGGAAAGUAAUAGGAUAAAGUGUUUGCGGCAGUUUCUCAAAUGCAAAGGAGCUAUGUGCAUCACAGAGAGGUUUGCAUCAAGUGGUUUGACAAAGUCAAAUUCA